rnacentral:rRNA from 1 species
GGGCCCGCACAAGCAGCGGAGCAUGUGGUUUAAUUCGAAGCAACGCGAAGAACCUUACCAGGGCUUGACAUCCACAGGAGGCUGUAGAGAUACGGCUGUGCCCUUUUAGGGAACUGUGAGACAGGUGGUGCAUGGUUGUCGUCAGCUCGUGUCGUGAGAUGUUGGGUUAAGUCCCGCAACGAGCGCAACCCCUAUCGCUAGUUGCUAACGCGUAGAGGCGAGCACUCUAGGGAGACUGCCGGGGACAACUCGGAGGAAGGUGGGGAUGACGUCAAAUCAUCAUGCCCCUUAUGUCCUGGGCUACACACGUGCUACAAUGGCCGGAACAGAGGGCAGCGAAGGAGUAAUCCGGAGCCAAUCCCAAAAACCCGGUCCCAGUUCGGAUUGUGGGCUGCAACCCGCCCACAUGAAGUCGGAGUUGCUAGUAAUCGCGGAUCAGCCAUGCCGCGGUGAAUGCGUUCCCGGGCCUU